rnacentral:misc_RNA from 1 species
CCAAACUUGGUCAUUUAGAGGAAGUAAAAGUCGUAACAAGGUUUCCGUAGGUGAACCUGCGGAAGGAUCAUCAAUGAAUUUAAAAAUUCAUUUGGCUUUGGUGGGAAGGAGGGCCCUUUUUGGGUCAACUAGACCAUUCCAUUGCCUUAUCAACCAUUAGUCUCUGUCCAACAAAGGUGUCUUGAGAAAUUUAUUUUUCUCCCAGCCCUUUGCGAUUGACAUUGACUUUUUGCAGAGUGUCGGGUAGGUUCGCCCCCUUGGUUUGGGUUAGGUUUUAUUAUCUUCCAAACAAAUAGGGCAACCUCUCUCACUCGUUUUCUGUGGGCAUCAAAAAAAUUAAAAUACAACUUUUAACGAUGGAUCUCUUGGCUCCCGCAUCGAUGAAGAACGCAGC